CCAAUAGCGUAUAUUAAAGUUGUUGCAGUUAAAAAGCUCGUAGUUGAAUUUCGGGAUCAAUCUGUCGGUCGUGCCUUCGGUACGUACUGGCAUCAUUGAUUUCUCCCUUUUGACGAACCACGAUGUCAUUAAUUUGGUGUCAUGGGGAGUCAGGACUGUUACUUUGAAAAAAUUAGAGUGUUUAAAGCAGGCUCACGCUUGAAUACAUUAGCAUGGAAUAAUGAAAUAGGACGUUUGACCCUAUUUUGUUGGUUUCUAGGAUCAACGUAAUGAUUAAUAGGGAUAGUUGGGGGCAUUAGUAUUCAAUUGUCAGAGGUGAAAUUCUUGGAUUUAUUGAAGACUAACUACUGCGAAAGCAUUUGCCAAGGAUGUUUUCAUUAAUCAAGAACGAAAGUUAGGGGAUCGAAGACGAUCAGAUACCGUCGUAGUCUUAACCAUAAACUAUGCCGACUAGGGAUCGGAUGAUGUUAAUUUUUUAAUGACUCAUUCGGCGCCUUACG
rnacentral:rRNA from 1 species